rnacentral:rRNA from 1 species
AUUGAACGCUGGCGGCAGGCCUAACACAUGCAAGUCGAGCGGUAGCACAGGGAGCUUGCUCCUGGGUGACGAGCGGCGGACGGGUGAGUAAUGUCUGGGAAACUGCCUGAUGGAGGGGGAUAACUACUGGAAACGGUAGCUAAUACCGCAUAACGUCGCAAGACCAAAGAGGGGGACCUUCGGGCCUCUUGCCAUCAGAUGUGCCCAGAUGGGAUUAGCUAGUAGGUGGGGUAAUGGCUCACCUAGGCGACGAUCCCUAGCUGGUCUGAGAGGAUGACCAGCCACACUGGAACUGAGACACGGUCCAGACUCCUACGGGAGGCAGCAGUGGGGAAUAUUGCACAAUGGGCGCAAGCCUGAUGCAGCCAUGCCGCGUGUAUGAAGAAGGCCUUCGGGUUAUAAAGUACUUUCAGCGGGGAGGAAGGUGUUGAGGUUAAUAACCUCAGCAAUUGACGUUACCCGCAGAAGAAGCACCGGCUAACUCCGUGCCAGCAGCCGCAGUAA